rnacentral:rRNA from 1 species
UACGGAGGGUGCAAGCGUUAUUCGGAUUUACUGGGCUUAAAGGGUGCGUAGGCGGGCAUGUAAGUCUGUGGUGAAAUCUCUAAGCUUAACCUGGAAACUGCCAUGGAUACUAUAUGUCUUGAAUGUUGUGGAGGUUAGCGGAAUAUGUCAUGUAGCGGUGAAAUGCAUAGAUAUGACAUAGAACACCAAUUGCGAAGGCAGCUGGCUGCACAAAUAUUGACGCUGAGGCACGAAAGCGUGGGGAGCAAACAGG